GCUUUAUGCUGAUGAUGCAAAACCUUGCUUGUCAACUCUCAACCCCCCCCCCCCCCCAGAUUUCCUGGUCUACGGUGGAAGCUGGAAAGAUGUUUUUAUUUACAAGCUCUGAGAAUGAGAAGCUGAGGAUGCCCGCCUCCUGGGACACCUCCCCAGCACCGCAAGACUGGCGCCCAUGCAGGAGCCAGCGUCCCCUUGUACCCUCAGAGCCUCCACGGGGACGAAGUUUUCAAGACUACAGCAAGAUUUCAUCUGGCAAUUCACAUGCUUCUCACCACUCCCCGAUCAGGUUCAGCGUAAGAUUUGAAACUGGUGGAUGGACGGCUUCUCAGGGAACAGACACAACACUAUCGGACCCUCCCACUCAGAAUCCUUAUGCGUUAAACCUGCUCAAGAAUAUGUGCUUACCUGUUGACAACCCUCCCAGUUCCCAGCUGCCACUGGAUGUCCCUCCUAGCCAAUGCUGAAAUGCAAUCACAUUUGCCAUCCUUCUUGGGGUCUCUGAAGAGUAAAUAGAUGCUCAGGUACCCCUGCCCAGCACCCCCAGCGUUAGCACAUCAGAGGCGAUUGUUUCCAAACCUGGCCUUGAUUUUGCACCUGGGUGUGUUUGUGUGACUCUGACGAUGAUGGAGGGGCUUGUUGACUCAUACUAUGUCAGACAUGGCUUCUUGGUGGCAGUUCUGUAAGAAUCUGAGUUUGUCGCUGCUUUAUUUCAGCCUUCUGCUGUCCUCCUAGAGCUUCGGGUCUGAACUUCCUUACUCGUCCUGGCUUCCCAGUCACCACACCCCCUUUUGUCUUCUGUCUGGAUUGAUUUCAUCAAUGGGAAGACCUUGAGGCUCUCUGUAGUAACACUGCAGUCCAAUAUACUAUAUUAAUGUUGUGACAGAUAUACCCCAUGGUGACCCGUCAUCAGUCAUACCUUCGUGUUAAUCCCUUUGUCUACUGUGGAAACCAUGAUCUUCUUACCAAUUCAAUAUGGCAAAGGUGACGGGAUGCCAUUCCCAUGGUUGUUGCGUGGCAACGAUGAAAGGAUUUUAAGAUGUAAUUAAGGUUCCUAAUCUAUUGACUUUGAGUUAGUUAAAAGAUGGAUUAUCCCUGGGUGGGUCUCACCAUAUUAAAAAUGAAAGCUUAUUAAAAAUAAGCUUUUAAAAGAAGAUUCAAUCCAUCCCUGAAGUUAGGAGCUCCUAGUAACAGAGACUGUCAUUCAUUCAUUCUCUCCCCCACUAUCUCUCUGUGUUUGAUGAAUCAAGCUGCCAUGAAUUCUACACUUACAAGAGCCCAAGCUCUGCCGACACCCAAGAGGGCUAAGUGGAUCCUUCUCUAUUCAGACCACCAAAUAGAAGCACAGUCUACUCAACACCUUGCUCUAAGCUUUGUGAAAUUCUGAGCUCAGGACCCAAGUAACUUGUGCUCAGACUCUUGAUCCACAGAAAUUGUGUGAUAAGAAAUGAAGAAUGUUUUAAGCUGUUAAAUUUCUGGCGAUUUGUUAUGUGGAAAGUAAUAUCACUACUCAUAUUAAAUACAUUCAACUUAGCUGCUUCUGAGUAACCAGAAGUCUUUAUUCUGCAACCCACUCAAAUAUGAUGUACUCCUGGGUUUUUUUGUUCGUGUUUUAUUUUCUUGCUUUUGGUCUAGUGUAAAAAUGGAGGGCACUUAUCCUUAUUACUGUCAUAAAGCUAUUUUUUGGCAUAAGAAUUUUAUCACUAUCAUGGAUUCCUUUCAGUAUUCUUCAAAAAAUAUCAGUCUAUGGUCCCCUAAGUGUUUUUGCAUAUAAUCAAUAAUAUUUCUACCUCUCUGAGCCUGAGCCUCUUUAUCAUUGUUCUAUGGAUUAUUUUUGCAGCGACACCUAAUCCCCAAAAUAAACUGUUUUCUUUGCAGCUUUGUAGUUUGGCUAUCCCAGUCAUGCUCAAGUUUUCUUGUUCUGGGACCAUGUGUCUUACUGUGUCCUUUUCAAAGCGGACAGUGAGAGUGUAGGAGAGCAAAUGAACACAUGGGUAUCUCUUAACAUUUCCACCCAGUGGUGGUACAGGUUAUUUUUACUCAUAUUCCAUUACUCAGAAUGCUAUGGACUGAAUUACUUCCCUUCUAAAAUUCAUAUGUAGAAGCCAUAACCCCCAGUAUGACUGUGUCCGGAGAUGGGGUCUUUGGGAGGUGAUUAGGUCAUGAAAGUGGAGACCGCAUAAUAGGAUCAGAGUGUUUAUAAGGUCAGACAUCAUGGAAUCUCUCUCUCCUCUCCCUCUCUCUCUGCCAUAUGAGGAUACAGCAAGAAAAUAGCCAUCUGUCAGCCAGGAAGAGAGUCCUCAUCAGAAUCCAACCAUUCUGGCACCCUGAUCUCAGACUUCUAGCCUCCAGAGCUGUGAGAAAUAGAUUUCUGCUGUUUAAGUCACACAUCUAUGGUAUUUUGUUGUGGUAGUUGCAGCUGACUAAGACACAGAGCAAGACACUUGGCAAAACCCAAAGUAAGCAGACAGAGAAGUAUAUUUCAACCGACAGGUGUGGAGGGGAGGAGGAGUAUAUUUGUUAAUAGCACAGUGGAUGCUAUUACAGGUGCCAAGGUCAUAUUUCAGCUCUUGGCAUGCUACCUAUCACUACGAUCUUGACUUUAAACUUACUAGUAACCUAUAUCAUCAUCAUUCCAGAGUCUGUUUAAUUAAUAGAAUAUUUGAUCUUGAUCACAAAAGCAAAGCAAAAGUCUUAAGCAGAUAAAAUAGAUAAGACCUUCUUGAGAUAUCUAUGUGAUAUCAAAAGUUUGGAGGAAAAAUAAAACAACACAGACCAUAAGCUCCACCUGUAUAGUUCAUGCUGUAUUAGGUACUUUGCAAAGUGUUGUUCAAGUUAGAGAACAUGCAUGAGUUUGCGUUUCCGGUUAAGAUUUUAAGAACUAAAUAGAAUCUUUCUCCAAACUAUAAACAUAUUACUAGGAUAUCAUCUCCUCUGGAACUCUUCAACAUUUUUGCAUAAUCCCUGAUUUGAUGGACCCUUCCUCAUCAGUUACAUUGUUCCAACAGCUUAGCAGUCAGGAUGAAAAUAUGCUUUUCCCUCACUUUUAUAGUGACAGUUUUCAUCCUGAUAGACUAUAGCUAGGUGCUGGAGCUCAAAUCCUAAAUCCUGUACAUUAGUCCUUCAGCAUAAUACCUUAGGAAAACAAAGAUGAUUCAGCCCCAAAAUGAUGUGAUUCUGAAGAAACAUAGUAUUUACCACCCAAAAGUAAAGAAACGUAGAAUUCUUUGCUUUUGCUUUUCACAAGGUAUCAGAGAGACUUGUAGUAACUUUAGUC
rnacentral:lncRNA from 1 species